GGCGGUGGCCGAGUGAAGAAAUACAUUUCAUUUCCCUUCUUACCGACCAAGUACUAAGAGCGAGACCGGGAGAGAGAACUCUGCAUUUUUUCCUUAGGCAGCAACAACCGAGAGAGAAAACAGAGCAUCCGAAUAGCUUUCCCAUUUCUGCCUUCUUAAACCGACCAAAACUGAGAGCUAAAGUGAAGGAUAGGAAGAGAAACUUUGUUAGUUUCUUCACUAAUUAGCUUCAACCGAGAGAAAGAGUAUCCGAAUAGCUUUCCCAUUUCUGCCUUCUUUAACCGACCAAAACUGAGAGCUAAAGUGAAGGAUAGGAAGAGAAACUUUGUUAGUUUCUUCAGUAAUUAGCUUCAACCGAGAGAAAGAGUGAAAGCUGCUGCAAUAUUAGGAGAAACCUAAGCUACGAGCAGGAGCAAUCUGCCGUUAUUAAAAUUUAACGGAGAAGGAACUAGCUGCGAGCCAAGAAACAGACCCGAAGCUCGAGUUACUUGAAUAAUUGGAGUUGGAGAUUGAAAAGUGAUUGGAUGGAAUUGGAAAGUUAUUUUGGAAAGAUCCAUCACUAUGUGUAUAUAUUGGAGUCACGUUUUCUUUUGUAUUUUAAGAUGGUUGAAUCUUCUAUUUUGAGUUGAUGCAAUAUUAAGAAUGGAUGUUUAGAACGUAUAUUUUGUUUCUUUUAGUGGACAAAUCUAUGUUUCCAAUUGAUUGGAGUUGUAUUUAAGAGUGAAUGUUCAGUUGUUCAAUGAUAAUAUUAUCUCUGAAGUUAAU